UCUCCCUGAUAGAGUGUGGAUGGCACCACCUCCCCAGGUGCCCAGCUUGGACAUCCUCCAAAACCUAGUGGCUAAUACACGGAAGCCCCAGUCUGCCACGUUAUGGUGUGGCCAGCACUAUCCAUGCCCAGACCUCACUGGUGGUGGAUGGCGCCCAGCUGCUGUGAAGACCAGCGCCUGGAAAUGGCAGCAUACCCUGGCUGACUCAGGCUGGUCCCUCUGGGACAGUCGUGCUGGCGGAGUGGUGGCCUUCUGGCCACAGCACUGCUUGAUCACACGAACUUCUGACCUAUCAGCUUGGACUGUGGUGUAGUGGACCACAGUGGCCCCGACGGGUAACGGAGAAUCAGGGUUCGACUCCGGAGAGGGAGCCUGAGAGACGGCUGCCACUACCAAGGUGGGCAGCAGGCACGCAAAUUGCCCAAUGCUGAGACACUUCAUGGCGAGGCAGCAACGAACUGUAGCAAUUCAGCUUGUCCUUGUGAUGGGCUGAACUUGUAAUGGAUGCAAUCCAAACCCAGUGAUGAGUAUCAACUGGAGGGCAAGUCUGGUGCCAGCAGCUGCGGUAAUUCCAGCUCCAAGGGCGUAUACUGACAUUGCUGCUGUUAAAACACUUGUAGUCGGAUGCUGGGCACAGGUCUGCUGGGUGGCCGGGGGCCCAGCCUGCCUCGGGUGGGGGGCUUCGGCCCCCUUGCCCGGUGUGGGCUGGUGUCCCUGGAACUCAACCCCCAGUGGUAUGUUCCUGUGCCCGACCUUCCAUGAUGGUGAGAACAGCCCCUGCCCCAAGCCCCCUUCAGUGGGGGCCCAAGCGGGUUCAUACCCAAAGCUUGUGUGUGGCCAUCACAGGGCAUGGGCCCGUCCCAUGCAUUCACUCCUGGGCCCACCACCGGGGUCCACCAUCGAAGCCACCGUGGAAAACUCAGUGUGCCCAAAGCAGCCGUUCGGCUGAAUGUCUGUCCAUGGAAUGGCAAAGCAUCGACCGGAUGUGGCAGUUGAUGUUGUGCUGGCCUUGGUGCCCAUCCCGGGGAACUUGGUGCCCUGGCCCUCCCUUCCAGUGUGGCCUCCCUCCGGGGAGAUCACCUCCUGGUUGGGAUCGGGCAGGCACCCCUCGGGCAUGAGGGGACUGCUCGGGGUGAAGGGUAUUGCAGCGCCAGAGGUGAAAUUCUUAGACCGCUGCCAGACCAACUGCAGCGAAGGCGCUCUACACGUGCCUGUCCGUCGAUCAAGAAUGAGAGUGUGGGGAGCGAAGAUGAUCAGACACCGUCGUAGUCCACGACUGUAAACUAUGCCAGCCCGGUCCUGAGGGUGCAAGUACACGGACACCCCCAGGACCAUGCCCCCUACAACGAGAAAUCCAAGCCUAUGGGUUCAGGGGGGAGUACUGCUGCAAGGCUGAAACUUGAAGGAAUUGACGGAAUGGCACCACAAGGCGUGGAGUAUGCGGCUUAAUUUGACUCAACACGGGGAAUGUUACCAGGUCAGGACGCUGCUGGGAUGGACAGACUGAGAGCUCUUUCUUGAUCCAGCGGAUGGUGGUGCAUGGCCGCUCCUGAUUGGUGGAGUGAUUUGUCUGGUUGAUUCCGAUAACGAGUGAGACCUCUGCCUCCCAAUAGCCCCAGUCUCGUACUUGUAGGGCGGCCUGGGCUGCCUCUCCAUCCAGGGCCUUUCGGGGUCCUGUGUGGGCUCCGGGGAAACCCACUGGCUGCCUGAGAGCACUGGGAUCAGCUUCUCUGAGGUGCUGUGUACGCUGCCAAGUGCAUGCAUGCUAGAGCCAACAGCAGGUCUGUGAUGCUCCCAGAUGUCCUGGGCCGCACGCGCACUACAUUGACACAGAGAAUGUGUUCUCCCUUGCUGGCCAAGGCCUGCCCGGAAGUGGGUGGGAAACCCUGUGAGGCUGUGCUGUACUGGGGAUAGAUGAUUGCAACUGUCUGCCUUGAACGAGGAAUGCCUAGUAAGCCUGGGUCAUCAGCCC
rnacentral:rRNA from 1 species